rnacentral:misc_RNA from 1 species
AAAUAGCAUCAAUGAAAGAGAAAAUAACAAGGUAUAUUCAGAACAAAAGUGAUCAUUGGUAUCCAGAUCCCUCAGUUGUGAUGAGGGAUGUUGAAGACUUGAACAGGAUAAAGUGGUCAGUAUGGAUUUCACACACAAUGAAUUUCCAAGACAUGGGAGAGAGAUGGGCAAGGAGAGCUCUUUUAAUUGAGGAAAUGGUUAAGAUAUUCAGAGAGCUAGAUAUCGAAUAUCGUAUGCUCCCUCUUGAUGUCAAUGUUCG